UAAAGUAGCACAUUAAAGGGUGGGUACCAACUCUUGCAUGACAAGGCCAACUGGUUUCCAUUUUACAAAGAAUUAGAAAAGGAUGUGGUGCCUCAAAAACAACCAACCAAAAUAUUACUCAAUAAUUAAACACCUUUCGAAAUGCCUAGAGUUUUCCCACAUGAUCAAUGUUUUGUGCAAUUAAUAGUGUACAAAGUCAACAAAUUGUCUCUCAAGUUUGUACUACUGUCCUGAGGAUAUCACAUUUUCACAGUACAGUAUUUAAAUUCGCAGUAUUAUUUGCCCAAAGGAAAUAGUAUGUUCGUAUGUAUUAUGUUUAUUGUUUGGAAUGUACGUCAGGCACCUAAUAAGUAUUGCAUGUGACUUGAUUAGUGGCACAGCCUUCCUCAUUCUGCACUUACAUCAUUUCAUUAAUUUUUAUCCCAUUCUCUUCUUUUGAAUUCCCAUUUAAUCAUUUACUCAUUUAAAAUUGUAAUCAUGAGAUGCAUCCAUUUAAAAAACAACAACCCACAAACACCAUUGCUGUUGAUUUCCUCAUUUGCCUUUCUUUGUCAUAAUUUGCUCUGACCCUCUCCUAUGCUCAUGUCUUAAUAAAUACUUGUAAGCCAUAUACUCCCACACAAUGAGGCUACUCCUUUCCAUGUCUCUUGUAUUUAUUAAAUUUUUAUCCUCCCCUUCUUCCCAAAGGAGCCAUGGGUGGAUGUCUUGCUAGUUCUGCACCAAUAUUAUCAGUACUUUUUGGUAAAGAAAAACAAAUAAAUCAAUGAGUUGCUGGCACUCUUUUAUCUUGAUUGAAGUGUCAUGAGUGCCAGGACAUCAGGGCUGCUAUGGACAGCAAAAAAAAAAAAAAAAGAGGUGCUGGCAUUCUCUGUUGGUGAGUACUGACACAUCAAAAGUGUUAAGUUGUGGGUAGACAUCGCAGACGACGCAGUGAUUUCUUCAAGAAGCUCUUUAUUUGGGAGCUGGAACAGAACUAACUGGCAGCUCAGCCAGCCUGCUUUUAUAGGCAGCCGGCUUACACUAUUGUAACAUUGUAGCAACACAACAACCCAGGGUUUCCCGCCUAAACUAACUGACAAUGACCUGAGUGAAAACUAUGGUACACUAUCCCCCUGCUGGCCCAGGGUGAGAACUUCAAUACAUAACAAAAAGCAUUGAUGAUGGUGGUGAUUUCAUUUAUGAAUCACUUCUCAUGAGGCAUCUUGAAGCACAUUACAAUAUAAUGACAUAUAUAUAUAUAUAUAUAAAUCCUUCAGUAGCACCUUAAAGACCAACUAAGUUUUUAUUUUGGUAUGAGCUUUCGUGUGCAUGCACACUUAUUCGGAUACAGUUACAUAUAUAAAAAACAGUUACAUAUAUAAAAAACAGUUGAAAACAAUUGCAUAUAAUAACAUUUUUAAUUAAAAAAACCACCUAUAAAUAUUUUUUUUAAAAAAACAGUUUAAAGUAUAAACAGCAGAUACCGUACAUGAAAUCAGUUCAGAUGCAGGACAGAAACCAACUUGGGAUCAAAGUUUUAGAAGGCUUGCUGGAAGAGGAAUGUCUUUAGCAGGCACCAAAAAGCCAACAGAGAAAGUGCCUAUAUGAUAUGCAAUGAAAGGGAAUUCCAAAGUAUGGGUAGCACCACACUGAAGACCCUAUACGCCAGUCUUGCACUCUUGUAUUAUUAGCCUGUAAAGGAGCUUUUUCAAAAUUAUUGUGCAAAGACUGCGGUGCCCUUGGGACAUGCUUUUCACUGAUCAUGUGGGAAAACCCUCUGAGGUGGGAAGGCAGGAUUUACUGUGCUACAAAAAUAAUAUUGCUUUAUAACACAUUGUUGUCUUCUUUUGUUUUAGGGGCCUCUUGGACUGGAUGGCAAACCAGGGCCUCCAGGAGCAAAAGGGGAAAAGGGGGAUCAAGGAGACAUCGGCCCAAGAGCAUGUACAGAGCCUCUCUGCUGCCCGGGGCAGCAACCCACUCUGUCGUGACGCAUACGUCAUGACGUAACGUCAAGACAUAACGUCGCUACGUCAUGACGCAUGCGCCGGGGGUGGUGCUCCAGCGCCCGGAUCCAAGGAUCCCGAUGCUAGAGGGGCGGCGCCGGCAACCCGCCCCCUCACCCCCUAUUGCGAUGCCCCUGCUUCCUCCAUCACUUUUCUAAUUGUCAGCUUACAAAGAUCUCUAAUGAUAUCUAUAACUAAAACAAAUUAAUUGGAAGAAGAGGAUGACUAUGAUAACUCAGGAGGAAGUUUGGUGCCUUAAAUUCUUUGCAAGUAUUAGAAAAUCGAAGCCCAAAUUUAAGAUGAUUCUCAGCUUUUUUUUUUUUUUAAAGGCAGAGAAAGAGCAUAGGGCAAUGAGGAAAUUGAUAGUGAACUUGUUUCAUCUUUCCUUUUCUUGGUCCUCAUCCAUAUGGAAGACUGCCUCAUUAAACUAUAAAAGUUAGAAUUUAAUAAACCUUUCUUAACGUCAUACAAGCUAGCAUAUGGGCAUCCUUCCUCUGACUCAUUUUCUUUCUACUUAAUUUUAAUGGAGUGGGACUGAGUUCAGCUGUAAUACAUACAUGUCCACAACAGGAUUUCCACUUCCAGUGAACUGAAAAGAUGCAUUUUUUUGUUUGUUUCUAGGCAAAGCAUUGUUCUAUUUCCCACCCCCACUCCUCAGGGAUUUGCAAUCAACUUUAUUAAGUGUCUUCUUGUGCAUUUGUAUGAGGUAGAGACAAAAACAAACAAAACAAAACAAAACGCAAAACAAAUGAAAUGAAUGAGGUGUUCUGGAAAUUACUUCAAAGAAUAUUGUUUUUAAACUUGAGAGUAGUGAAAUAGAGCAGGCAUCAACUGAUAAAUAGGACCAGGAGCUUUAUCACAGCAGCUUAGAUUUUACAGCAAGUAAAAUAAUGAAUGCUGGUAUGGGAAAUUAUAAAAUGGACUCGCCAAACUUAGCCAGCAUAUGGGUCAACCCUUGACCUAAAGACUCCAUUUGGAUUCUCAGUAUCUCUGCAUCUGUUUUAAAAUAAGUUUCUAGCCCCCAUGAACAAAGACAUUUGGUUGAAAAUGUGGUAGCAAAAACCCAAGCAAGUUGAAAGAGCAGUCCAAUUUUUUUUUCUAAUGUCGCAGUUUUUGUAUUUAAGGAUUGCAGUUUUGAAAUACAGUGGUACCUCGGUUUAUGAACACAAUUGGUUCCGGAAGUCUGUUCAUAAACUGAAGCGUUCAUAAACUGAAACGAACUUUCCCAUUGAAAGUAAUGGAAAGUGGAUUAAUCUGUUCCAGACAGUCCGUGGAGUACUUAAACUGAAGCGUUCAUAAACUGAAGCGAACUUUCCCAUUGAGAGUAAUGGAAAGUGGAUUAAUCCAUUCCAGACGGGUCCGUGGAUUACUCAACCUGAAGCGUACUUAACCCGAAGCAUGGGUGUAAUUGGUUCCGGAAGUCUGUUCAUAAACUGAAGCGUUCCUAAACUGAAGCGAACUUUCCCAUUGAAACAAAAUAAAAAAAAU